UUUAGGAAAAAAAAACUUUAAAUAUUAUAUCUUCAACAAAAGUUUAAAAAAAAAACUUUCAACAACGGAUCUCUUGGUUCUCGCAUCGAUGAAGAACGCAGCGAAUUGCGAUACGUAAUAUGACUUGCAGACGUGAAUCAUUGAAUUUUUGAACGCACAUUGCGCCUUAAGGUAUUCCUCAAGGCAUGCGUGGAUGAGCGAUAUUUACUCUCAAACCUUCGGUUUGGUCUUGUAACCACAAAAUAUCAAAUGGCUGUAGAAUAAGUUUUACACCAACUACUCC
rnacentral:misc_RNA from 1 species